CACGUUUCUAGUUAGAUCCUACUGAUGAAUAAUCCCAUAGCACACAAUCCUCCUUGAAAGAGAUAAUGAAGUGCUUCAGUGAAUUCUAGGGCUGUGCAGCCAUGACACCAUCUAACUCUGGAACAUUUUCAUCACAGAAAAUGAAGCCCGUAGCCAUCAGCAGCCAGUCCCCAGUUCUGCGGGGUCCCCCAGCCACAGGCCAUCACUAUGGGCCCCUCCUCUCUAAGUCGGCCUCUCCUGGGGCCUGCUGAGGAUGGAAUCCCGAGGCAGCACACACGGGGCUUGCUUCACCGCUGCCCAUGCAUCAGUGGGCGGCACUUGGGUGGCUUCUGUGUUGGCUGUCACAGUGGCCAAUGACCACAGCUGUGGACACUGUGCAAAGCCGUGCCUCGACCUGUGUUUCCAGUUACUCCACCUGGAGACCUCUGGGUGACCAUGUUUGACCUUUUAGUGCACUGUCCACUGUGUCCUCACUGUCCCCACUGUGUCCUACUGUUCCCACUGUGUAUUCACUGUCCCCACUGUCCCUGAUGUGUCCUCACUGUCCCCGAUGUAUCCUCACUGUCCUCACUGUCCACUGUGUCCCCACUGUCCCCACUGUGUCCUUACUGUCCCCUCUGUGUCCUACUGUUCCCACUGUGUAUGCACUGUCUCCACUGUCCCUGAUGUGUCCUCACUGUCCCCACUGUGUCCCCCUGUGUCCUCACUGUCCCCACUGUGUCCUCACUUCCCCCGCUGUGACCCACUGUGUCCUCACUGUCCCUGCUAUGUCCU
rnacentral:lncRNA from 1 species